rnacentral:rRNA from 1 species
CACAAGCGGAGGAGCAUGUGGUUUAAUUCGAUGAUACGCGAGGAACCUUACCUAGACUUGAACGUAUAAGUGAUUAUUUAGAAAUAGAUAAGCUAGCAAUAGACUUUUACGAGGUGCUGCAUGGUUGUCGUCAGCUCGUGCCGUGAGGUGUCAGGUUAAGUCCUAUAACGAGCGCAACCCUUACUCUUAGUUGCCAGCAUGUCAUGAUGGGGACUCUAAGAGGACUGCCAGCGCAAGCUGCGAGGAAGGUGGGGAUGACGUCAAAUCAGCACGGCCCUUACGUCUAGGGCGACACACGUGCUACAAUGGCCGAUACAGAGGGCAGCUACAUAGCGAUAUGAUGCGAAUCUCGAAAGUCGGUCUCAGUUCGGAUCGGAGUCUGCAACCCGACUCCGUGAAGUUGGAUUCGCUAGUAAUCGCAGAUCAGCCAUGCUGCGGUGAAUACGUUCCCGGGCCUUGUACACACCGCCCGU